UAAGUUUUUUCUUAGUUUGUUUAAGAAAGUUACUUGCCUAGAAAAAUGCCCAAGAAUUGCAAGCUGUUUGAAAAUUCUUGAUAAAUUCAUUUUAUAUACACCUUAGAUACUUUUUUUUUUAAAUGGUCCCAUUUACAUAGAAUGUGCCUUAGAUUAUUUGACACAAAAGGAAAGCUUUCUUAUGUAGAACAUCCUGUUAAAUUGGAGCUCCAAAAUCAAGUAAAGCUCUCCACCGAAGUCAAACUUGACAUUAUACAAUCCAUUGAAGCUAUGAUGAAAGGUAGAGGGAAGUGCCGCAAAUAUUGGCUUCGAACGAGUUGCGGUUUGGACAGAGUGGAAGUUUGGAUGGCCUACUCAUAGGCAACCGCUUCCUCCUAUUGUGGCCCUUAGCGAUUGCGCACAUUUCCCUUCAAUGCUAUGAUGAUAGGUAGAGGGGAGUGCCGCAAAUAUUGGCUUCGAACGAGUUGCGGUUUGGACAGAGUGGAAGUUUGGAUGGUCUACUCAUAGGCAACCGCUUCCUCCUAUUGUGGCCCUUAGCGAUUGCGCACAUUUCCCUUCAAUGCUAUGAUGAUAGGUAGAGGGGAGUGCCGCAAAUAUUGGCUUCGAACGAGUUGCCGUUUGGACAGAGUGGAAGUUUGGAUGGUCUACUCAUAGGCAACCGCUUCCUCCUAUUGUGGCCCUUAGCGAUUGCGCACAUUUCUCUUCAAUGGUAAUCUACUGCUCAGCAACUAUUUCCUACCAUUCUUACUUUUUUUUUCUUCGUGCUCUCUUCUUUUCAUUCCUUGUUGUCCCUGCUACUACUCUAUGCUUAUGAGCAGUGUUGCCUAUCCUCCUUAACCGACCCUUACAUUUUUCCUGCCUUGUUUUAAAGAUUGUUUUGAUUGUUUCCUUUUAUUUGAU